ncrna:unclassified sequences RAGATH-18 RNA
CCUAUUGAGUGUUAUAUCAAAUGAUAGUAGACACAUGAGCAAAGUCCAUGUGUCGAGGUCAGACACGGUGAUGUAGGAA